rnacentral:rRNA from 1 species
ACACUGCAUGCCUCAGUACGGCGAGUGAAGCGGCAAAAGCUCAAAUUUGAAAUCUAGCACCUUCGGUGUUCGAGUUGUAAUUUGAAGAUGGUAACCUUGGGUUUGGCUCUUGUCUAUGUUCCUUGGAACAGGACGUCAUAGAGGGUGAGAAUCCCGUCUGAUGAGAUGCCCAUUCCUAUGUAAGGUGCUAUCGAAGAGUCGAGUUGUUUGGGAAUGCAGCUCUAAGUGGGUGGUAAAUUCCAUCUAAAGCUAAAUAUUGGCGAGAGACCGAUAGCGAACAAGUACAGUGAUGGAAAGAUGAAAAGAACUUUGAAAAGAGAGUGAAAAAGUACGUGAAAUUGUUGAAAGGGAAGGGCAUUAGAUCAGACUUGGUGUUUUACGAUUAUCUUCUCUUCUUGAGUUGUGCACUCGUAUUUCACUGGGCCAGCAUCGAUUCGGAUGGCAAGAUAAUGGCAGUUGAAUGUGGCUUCACUUCGGUGGAGUGUUAUAGCUUCUGCUGAUAUUGCCUGUCUGGAUCGAGGGCUGCGUCUUUUGACUAGGAUGCUGGCGUAAUGAUCUAAUGCCGCCCGUCUAAAAACCGGACCAAAAAAAAAAAAAAAUUGAGGGGGAAAAAAAAAA